ACGCUCGACACCUACGGGGGCAGCAGUGGGGAAUAUUGCACAAUGGGGGAAACCCUGAUGCAGCGACGCCGCGUGAGCGAAGAAGUAUUUCGGUAUGUAAAGCUCUAUCAGCAGGGAAGAAGAAAGACGGUACCUGACUAAGAAGCCCCGGCUAACUACGUGCCAGUAGCCGCGGUAAUCUGAGCGGGCUGGCAAGGC
rnacentral:rRNA from 1 species